GCAAGUCGAACGGAAACAUGUCUAGCUUGCUAGAUGAUGUCGAGUGGCGGACGGGUGAGUAAUGCCUGGGAAUUUGCCUUUGCGAGGGGGAUAACUAUUGGAAACGAUAGCUGAUACCGCAUAAUAGAUACGGCGCAAAGUAGGGACUUGAUGCUGGCGCGCAAAGAGGAGCCCAGGUGAGAUUAGCUAGUUGGUGAGGUAAAGGCUCACCAAGGCGACGAUCUCUAGCUGUUCUGAGAGGAAGAUC
rnacentral:rRNA from 1 species